rnacentral:rRNA from 1 species
AAGCGCUUGCAAUCAGACUUGCUUGCAGUUGAUCAUCCGAUGUUCUCACCGGUGCACUCAAUUGCAUACAGGCCAGCAUCGGUUUUGGUGGUUGGAUAAAGUCCUUGGGAAUGUGGCUCCCUUCGGGGAGUGUUAUAGCCCAAGGUGCAAUGCAGCCUUCUGGGACCGAGGACCGCGCUUCGGCUAGGAUGCUGGCGUAAUGGUUGUAAGCGA